rfam:Gossypium arboreum cultivar AKA8401 contig_131973_1, whole genome shotgun sequence.
AACCCAUGGUGAGGGCACCUUUUUAAUAAGUCCUUGUACCUCUCUCAUGCAUCAUAAAGAGUUCCUAGAUCCAUCUGCACAAAAGAAGAGAUAUCAUUUCUUAAUUU